rnacentral:lncRNA from 1 species
UUUGGGCGCUUAUUUUUGGGCGCGGCUUUGCCCGCGGCUUAUUUUUGGCACCCCGAGACCCCUCGCAAAGUCUCGCCCCAUUCCGAGUCCGGCGGACGAACUUCGCCCGCGCCCCCCACCAAGGCUAUAGCCCACCCGUUUUUUGGCCAUUUUUCCGCUGGGGGGUUUUGGCACCACGACCUUCGGGCGCUUAUUUUUGGGCGCGGCUUUUUCCACGGCUUAUUUUUGGCGCCCCGACGCCCCGUGCAAAGUCUCGCCCCAUUCCGAGUCCGGCGGACGAACUUCGCCCGCGACCCCUCCAAGACUAUAGCCCACCCGUUUUUUGGCCAUUUUUAACGCUGGGGGGUUUUGGCACCACGACCUUCGGGCGCUUAUUUUUGGGCGCGGCUUUGCCCGCGGCUUAUUUUUGGCGCCCCGACACCCCGCGCAAAGUCUCGCCCCAUUCCGAGUCCGGCGGACGUACUUCGCCCGCGCCCCCCACCAAGGCUAUAGCCCACCCGUUUUUUGGCCAUUUUUCCACUGGGGGGUUUUGGCACCACGACCUUCGGGCGCUUAUUUCUGGACGCGGCUGUGCCCGCGACUUCCCGCGGGCACCCCGAGGCCCCUCGCAAAGUCUCGCCCCAUUCCGAGUCCGGCGGACGAACUUCGCCCGCGCCCCCCACCAAGGCUAUAGCCCACCCGUUUUUUGGCCAUUUUUGGGCUGGGGGGUUUUGGCACCACGACCUUUGGGCGCUUAUUUUUGGGCGCGGCUUUGCCCGCGGCUUAUUUUUGGCACCCCGAGGCCCCUCGCAAAGUCUCGCCCCAUUCCGAGUCCGGCGGACGAACUUCGCCCGCGCCCCCCACCAAGGCUAUAGCCCACCCGUUUUUUGGCCAUUUUUCCGCUGGGGGGUUUUGGCACCACGACCUUCGGGCGCUUAUUUUUGGGCGCGGCUUUGCCCGCGGCUUAUUUUUGGCACCCCGAGGCCCCUCGCAAAGUCUCGCCCCAUUCCGAGUCCGGCGGACAAACUUCGCCCGCGCCCCCCACCAAGGCUAUAGCCCACCCGUUUUUUGGCCAUUUUUCCGCUGGGGGGUUUUGGCACCACGACCUUCAGGCGCUUAUUUCUGGAUGCGGCUGUGCCCGCGACUUCCCGCGGGCACCCCGAGGCCCCUCGCAAAGUCUCGCCCCAUUCCGAGUCCGGCGGUCGAACUUCGCCCGCGCCCCCCACCAAGGCUAUAGCCCACCCGUUUUUUGGCCAUUUUUCCGCUGGGGGGUUUUGUCACCACGACCUUCAGGCGCUUAUUUUUGGGCGCGGCUAUGCCCGCGACUUCCCGCGGGCACCCCGAGGCCCCUCGCAAAGUCUCCCCCCAUUCCGAGUCCGGCGGACGAACUUCGCCCGCGCCCCCCACCAAGGCUAUAGCCCACCCGUUUUUUGGCCAUUUUUCCGCUGGGGGGUUUUGGCACCACGACCUUCGGGCGCUUAUUUUUGGGCGCGGCCUUGCCCGCGGCUAUUUUUGGCACCCCGAGGCCCCUCGCAAAGUCUCGCCCCAUUCCGAGUCCGGCGGAUGAACUUCGCCCGCGCCCCCCACCAAGGCUAUAGCCCACCCGUUUUUUGGCCAUUUUUCCGCUGGGGGGUUUUGGCACCACGACCUUCGGGCGCUUAUUUUUGGGCGCGGCUUUGCCCGUGGCUUAUUUUUGGUGCCCCGAGGCCCCUCGCAAAGUCUCGUCCCAUUCCGAGUCCGGCAGACGAACUUCGCCCGCGCCCCCCGCCAAGGCUAUAGCCCACCCGUUUUUUGG